UGAUAGCUUGCCGGGGCCAGUCGAACCCCAGCGACGGGGUCAGGGAAUCCGGUGCGAGACCGGAACUGACGCGCAGCGGUGAGGGGGACGGGCGGGGCCACGGCCACUGGAGCGCACAUGUGCUCCGGGAAGGCGUCCCGCCCGGACGAACCCGAGUCCGAAGACCUGCUGGCACCCGCGCCCCGCAC
rnacentral:ncRNA from 2 species